GACAGAGGAUGCAAGCGUUAUCCGGAAUGAUUGGGCGUAAAGCGUCUGUAGGUGGCUUUUUAAGUCCGCCGUCAAAUCCCAGGGCUCAACCCUGGACAGGCGGUGGAAACUACCAAGCUGGAGUACGGUAGGGGCAGAGGGAAUUUCCGGUGGAGCGGUGAAAUGCGUAGAGAUCGGAAAGACCACCAAUGGCGAAGGCACUCUACUGGGCCAUUACUGACACUAAGAGACGAAAGCUAGGGGAGCGAAUGG
rnacentral:rRNA from 1 species